rnacentral:misc_RNA from 1 species
GAGUAGCGGCAGCAGCAGGCAGGCGCCGGGAAUGGAUACGAAAGUAUAUCUGUGUAUAUCUGUGAGUGAACGAGGCAAGUUGAAGUGAGACGUCGUUUUCGUCGUCGUCUUCGUCGUUGUUCUCGUCGUCGGUGUCGUUGUGGCCCGCGGCAGCGAUUACACUUCGGGCACCACGUCCCGGUUCUCGGAGCGCAGUGUGUUUGCGCGUUAGAAUCAGUGGCCGGCGCCCCCGGUGUGUAACAGGGUUUUUAUGAUUGCUAGUGAUUGACAGCCAGAAUUAAGUUCUUCCAUCGGACCGGACUUCACGACUCCGUCAAGUUUGAAAAAUUUAACAAAGAACAAGAAGAAGAAUAACCGUAAUUAAAAAAUUGAAAAAAAAAAACCACUCCAUCCAUCUAUUCGCAACUGCGGUCAUUGUCAAUUUUCUCGGCUUUCAAACUAUCGAUGACGCGAUAAAUGCAGCAACGUAACUAUCAUCACCAUCAUCAUUAUCAUCAUCAUCGUUGUUAUCAGCAUCAUCGCCAUUAACAUCAACAUCAUUUGAAUAAUAAUAACAACAAUAACAACAAUAAUAACAACAACAAAUAAUAAUAAUGAUAACGAUAACAUUAUUAUAACCACAAUUUUACGUAAAGAACGAAGUUAUAAGAAUAUAAAAGAAAAACGCUCUAGGAACUAUACCGCGAAAAACGUAUACUACUAAUUACACAUCAUUAUUUAAACAACCAAAAUACACAUGAAUAAAGUGGUGUUCGGAUACUAAGAAAAUAUAUAACUUAUAAAGUAUAUUAUUAGUGACUUUGCAAACUAUAAAAGAAAAAAGCAGAAAAAAGAUUUUCAAGUUAUUUAAUCUUUUUUUUGUGUAAAUCACCGGCUGACUGAACGGAGCACUGGAUUACCUCAUCAAGGAUCCAACCUCUGAACAUACGAGAUAUUGGACCUCCAGGUACUUGGAGGCUACGGAAGUAGCGACGACAAAGCAAUAGCAAGAGUGGGGCUCAGGUUCGGAUAGCUACCGAGAAGUUGGCAUUGGCCAACUACAGUGACCAAGUAAAAUGGCGACGAUAGACGGGCGGCCGGCCCAAUAUGGUAUUACUCUCAAGCAGCUCCGGGAGCUCAUGGAGCACCGGGGUCGUGAGAGUAUUGAAAAAGUAAACGCCUUUGGUGGUGUCCAAGAAAUAUGCAAAAAAUUGUACACUUCCCCGAGCGAAGGUCUCAGCGGCUCGGUAGCAGAUACUCAACACAGGCAGGAGACAUUCGGUUCUAACAUGAUACCACCUAAACCCCCAAAAACGUUCAUGCAAUUAGUAUGGGAGGCAUUGCAAGAUGUUACGCUGAUUAUUCUAGAAAUUGCUGCAUUAGUAUCACUGGGUCUCAGUUUCUACCAACCUGCUGACGACGAAAGUGAACCAACACCUGUAAAUGAUGAGGGCGAAGGCCAGCACGGUUGGAUCGAGGGUUUGGCGAUCCUGAUUUCAGUUAUAGUGGUCGUCUUUGUGACAGCCUUCAACGAUUACAGCAAGGAAAGACAGUUCCGUGGUCUCCAAAGUCGAAUAGAAGGGGAACAUAAGUUCUCUGUUAUUCGGCAGGGUGAGGUCAAGCAGAUAUCCGUCUCAGACAUUGUUGUCGGUGACAUAUGUCAGAUAAAAUAUGGAGACUUGCUGCCAGCCGAUGGUAUCCUGAUACAAAGUAACGACGUAAAAGUGGAUGAAUCCAGUUUAACCGGAGAAUCGGACCACGUUAAAAAAGGGGAAAAUUAUGACCCAAUGAUGUUGUCAGGUACUCAUGUUAUGGAGGGUUCCGGUAAGAUGUUGGUGACCGCCGUCGGUGUCAAUUCACAAGCUGGAAUAAUAUUCACUCUGUUGGGAGCUGCCGUAAACCAGCAGGAACAGGAGAUCAAGCAGAUGAAAAAAGAAGCUAAAAAGCAGCGGAAGAAGAAGUCUUCAUCAGGAGACGAAGCUGGUGAAGUAACCGGUAACAGCCACGCACCAGCUGUGGAAAAACGAGAACCGACAGAGAAUCACGAGAGUUCAUCGGCGCCACCGGAACCGCCGAACAAGAAAGAAAAGAGUGUGCUCCAAGCCAAAUUGACUAAGCUCGCUAUACAAAUUGGCUACGCUGGUUCAACAAUAGCCGUUUUAACGGUCGUUAUUCUAGUCAUUACAUUCUGCGUGAAGACAUUUGUGUAUCAAGGAAAACAUUGGAAAAGUACAUACGUCAAUAAUCUCGUCAGACAUUUGAUCAUCGGUGUUACCGUACUCGUCGUCGCCGUGCCCGAAGGUCUUCCUCUCGCCGUUACUCUAUCCCUCGCUUACUCCGUCAAGAAAAUGAUGAAAGACAACAAUUUAGUGCGACAUUUAGACGCCUGUGAGACAAUGGGCAACGCUACGGCAAUUUGCUCCGAUAAAACCGGAACGUUGACUACAAAUCGUAUGACCGUUGUUCAGUCUUACAUCUGUGAGAAGAUGAGUAAAACAAUACCGAGUUUCGGCGACAUACCGAGCCACGUUGGUAAUUUAAUUAUUCAGUCCAUCGCGGUGAACUCAGCUUACACUUCGAGGAUUAUGCCGUCUCAGGAUCCCACCGAGCUCCCGAUGCAAGUCGGUAAUAAGACCGAAUGUGCCUUACUCGGAUUUGUGACCGCCCUCGGCAAGAGCUAUCAAACAAUCAGGGACGAUAUCCCGGAGGAAAGUUUCACCAGGGUCUUCACGUUCAACAGCGUUAGGAAAAGCAUGUCCACUGCCAUACCGAGACAGGGUGGAGGGUAUCGCCUGUUCACCAAGGGUGCUUCCGAGAUCAUCAUGAAGAAAUGUGCCUUUAUCUAUGGUCGUGACGGGCAUCUUGAAAAGUUCACUAGAGAGAUGCAGGAGCGUUUGGUGAAGAACGUGAUCGAGCCAUUGGCGUGCGACGGUCUUCGUACGAUCUCGAUCGCCUAUCGCGACUUCGUACCCGGCAAGGCGGAGAUCAAUCAGGUCCACAUCGACAACGAGCCCAACUGGGACGACGAGGAGAAUAUUGUGAACAAUUUGACGUGCCUCUGCAUCGUGGGUAUCGAGGACCCCGUGCGACCCGAGGUACCUGACGCGAUCAGGAAGUGUCAAAAGGCCGGUAUUACCGUCCGAAUGGUUACAGGUGACAACAUAAACACGGCAAGAUCAAUCGCUCUUAAAUGUGGUAUUUUAAAGCCGAACGAGGACUUCCUGAUAUUGGAAGGAAAAGAGUUUAACAGGCGGAUCAGAGACAGCAACGGGGAGGUGCGUCAGCAUCUCCUCGACAAAGUAUGGCCGAAACUUAGGGUGUUGGCGCGUUCCUCGCCCACCGACAAGUACACACUUGUCAAGGGUAUAAUCGACAGUAAAAAUUCCGAGAGUCGCGAGGUCGUCGCCGUCACCGGUGACGGCACAAACGACGGUCCCGCCCUGAAAAAGGCCGACGUAGGUUUCGCCAUGGGCAUCGCCGGUACGGACGUGGCCAAGGAAGCGUCCGACAUCAUCCUCACCGACGACAACUUCUCCUCUAUCGUAAAGGCUGUUAUGUGGGGUCGAAACGUCUACGACAGUAUAGCGAAAUUCUUGCAGUUUCAGUUGACCGUUAACGUUGUUGCCGUUAUUGUAGCGUUUAUCGGUGCUUGCGCCGUCCAAGACUCGCCGCUCAGGGCCGUUCAAAUGCUCUGGGUUAAUCUCAUUAUGGACACACUAGCGUCACUCGCACUCGCGACCGAGAUGCCAACGCCCGAUCUUCUGCUGCGCAAACCUUACGGAAGGACCAAACCGCUCAUAUCGCGAACCAUGAUGAAGAACAUAUUGGGCCAGGCGAUCUACCAGUUGGCCGUUAUUUUCUCACUGCUCUUCGUAGGUGACCAGAUGCUCGACAUCCCGACCGGACGAGGUACAGCCGAGACAGGCGGUGGACCCAAUCAACACUUCACGGUUAUCUUCAACACCUUCGUCAUGAUGACUCUGUUCAACGAGAUGAACGCCAGGAAGAUCCACGGACAACGGAACAUUUUCGACGGACUGUUCACCAAUCCGAUAUUCUACGGUAUCUGGAUCGGAACUUGUCUAGCGCAAGUUGUGAUUGUACAGUACGGAAAGAUGGCCUUCCACACGAAGGCUCUAACCCUGGAGCAGUGGAUGUGGUGCAUAUUCUUCGGAGUCGGCACUCUCUUGUGGGGACAGAUAGUGACGACGAUUCCAACCCGCAGAAUUCCUAAGAUACUUUCAUGGGGUCGCGGCCAGCCUGACGAUUUGGAUACGAUCAAUCUAGGGGAUGAGAAAUUCGACCCUGACUCGGAUAAAAAGCCACGCGCCGGACAAAUUCUAUGGAUACGUGGUCUUACACGGCUACAAACUCAGACGAGCAAUAGAACUCUGGUGCAGAAUGUAUCUGUGACAGGCAGAUCUCCUUCUCAGGAUUACCAUAUGCCAGCGGAACCCAUUCGAGAGACUGAGGUUUAACAGGGCGGCAGUCUCUUGCCAGUCGCCACACUAUUCCUGUCGGAGUACAAACAAAUCCGCGUAGUGAACGCAUUUCGACAAGGGGUAGACGCUCGUUACGGCGAGCACAGCAGCACCACCCUGGCUGAGGUACUUCGCAA